rnacentral:rRNA from 1 species
UACGAAGGGGGCUAGCGUUGCCCGGAAUCACUGGGCGUAAAGCGCACGUAGGCGGAUCUUUAAGUCAGGGGUGAAAUCCUGGAGCUCAACUCCAGAACUGCCUUUGAUACUGGGGAUCUCGAGUCCGGAAGAGGUGAGUGGAACUCCGAGUGUAGAGGUGAAAUUCGUAGAUAUUCGGAAGAACACCAGUGGCGAAGGCGGCUCACUGGUCCGGUACUGACGCUGAGGUGCGAAAGCGUGGGGAGCAAACAGG